rnacentral:ncRNA from 3 species
UGGGUGGUGGUGCAUGGCC